AACCAUGAUAUUAUAUACUAAGUUUAGCUUUAGUGUAAUAAUUACAUGUUUUACACUACAUAUUGUCAGAAUCUUAUGAUGUCGUUUACACUGAAUUUGGAGGUAAUGCAAUAAUGAAAUUAUAUACUGAAUUUGGAGGUAAUGCGAUAAUGUCACUAUAAACUGAAUUUGAAGACAGUGCAAUGAUGACAUGAACUGAAUUUGGAUAUAAUGCAAUAAUGAGACAUUAUAAACUGAAUCUGGAGGUAAUGUCACAAUGCCAUUAAAUACUGAACUUGGAGGUGGUGUAAUAAUGACAUUACCUGUGGAUUUGGAGGUAAUGCAAUAACGACAUCAUAUACUGAAUUUGGAGGUAAUACACUAAUGACAUUAUAUACUGAAUUUGGAGGUAAUACACUAAUGAUAUUAUAUACUGAAUUUGGAGGUAAUGCAAUAAUGACAUUAUAUACUGAAUUUGGGGUAAUACAUUAAUGACAUUAUAUACUGAAUUUGGAGGUCAUGCAAUAAUGACAUUAUAUACUGAAUUUGGAGGUAAUGCAAUAAUAACAUUAUAUACUGAAUUUGGAGGUAAUACAAUAAUGACAUUAUAUACUGAAUUUGGAGGUAAUACACUAAUGACAUUAUAUACUGAAUUUGGAGGUAAUGCAAUAAUGACAUUAUAUACUGAAUUUGGAGGUAAUACAUUAAUGACAUUAUAUACUGAAUUUGGAGGUAAUACAAUAAUGACAUUAUAUACUGAAUUUGGAGGUAAUGCAUUAAUGACAUUAUAUACUGAAUUUGGAGGUCAUGCAAUAAUGACAUUAUAUACUGAUUUUGGAGGUAAUGCAAUAAUGACAAUAUAUACUGAAUUUGGAGGUAAUGCAAUAAUGACGGUAUGGUGUAAUGAUGCCACUGUACACUUAAUCUUUGGGUAAUGUGAUGAUGUCAUAACCUGAAUGUGUUGACGUGAAAAUGACACUAUGCACGCCGUUUGAUGGUAGUGUAAUGGUAACACUACAUACAUGUACAUACUAUAGCUAUAGAUCUGGAUUCAGUUACCUUCGGUCACAUUGUUCUGUGAUGGUUCCAGCAUGUCUACCCUGCCUUUCCUUGUGCUAGGAUUUGGUAAUAAGAACAAUCCACAGAUCUGAUCGUUUACUAACUAGAUAUAUUUUAUGUUCGCUUCGUUUUGGUUGCGUGAUUCUCGCCAAAAAGGCAUCACAAUGAUCUGUCGCUUUACUUGUAAAACUAUUUGCAUUUACACUGCUGCAUCUAGUCUGAUGAUUGUCAUAGAUCUGAGUUAUUUCACAAUUGUUAGUUCAUAGUAAACAUAUAUAUAU